rnacentral:pre_miRNA from 1 species
AUAAUACUCCCUCCGUCCGGAAAUACUUGUCGGAGGAAUGGAUGUAUCUAGAUAUAUUUUAUUCUAGAUACAUCCAUUUUUAUGCAUUUUUGUGACAAGUAUUUCCGGAUGGAGGGAGUACUUG